rnacentral:rRNA from 1 species
CCCUUAGACGUUCUGGGCCGCACGCGCGCUACACUGACGAAGGCAACGAGCUACUCUUCACCGAAAGGUGUGGGUAAUCUUUUGAAACUUCGUCGUGCUGGGGAUAGAUCCUUGCAAUUUUUGAUCUUAAACGAGGAAUUCCUAGUAAGCGCAAGUCAUCAACUUGCGUUGAUUACGUCCCUGCCCUUUGUACACACCGCCCGUCGCUCCUACCGAUUGAGUGGUCCGGUGAGGCUUUGGGAUCUGAGCGGAAAGAGCGUUUCGCUGUUUCUGCUCGGAAAACUCAGUCGAACCUUAUCAUUUAGAGGAAGGAGAAGUCGUAACA